ACGGUCCUAAGGUAGCGAAAUUCCUUGUCGGGUAAGUUCCGACCUGCACGAAUGGCAUAAUGAUGGCCACACUGUCUCCUCCCGAGACUCAGUGAAGUUGAAAUGUUUGUGAUGAUGCAAUCUCCCCGCGGCUAGACGGGAAGACCCCAUGAACCUUUACUGUAGCUUUGCAUUGGACUUUGAACCGAUUUGUGUAGGAUAGGCGGGAGGCAGAGAAAGCGCAACGCCAGUUGUGCCGGAGCCGACGUUGAAAUACCGCCCUGAUUUGUUUGAGGUUCUAACCGCGACCCGUGAGCCGGGUUCGGGACCGUGCAUGGCAGGCAGUUUGACUGGGGCGGUCUCCUCCUAAAGGGUAACGGAGGAGUACAAAGGUACGCUAGGUACGGUCGGAAAUCGUGCUGAUAGUGCAAAGGCAAAAGCGUGCUUGACUGCGAGACCGACAAGUCGAGCAGAUGCGAAAGCAGGUCUUAGUGAUCCGGUGGCUCUGUAUGGAAGGGCCAUCGCUCAACGGAUAAAAGGUACUCUGGGGAUAACAGGCUGAUACCGCCCAAGAGUUCAUAUCGACGGCGGUGUUUGGCACCUCGAUGUCGGCUCAUCUCAUCCUGGGGCUGUAGCCGGUCCCAAGGGUAUGGCUGUUCGCCAUUUAAAGAGGUACGUGAGCUGGGUUUAAAACGUCGUGAGACAGUUUGGUCCCUAUCUGCCGUGGGCGCUGGAAGAUUGACGGGGGCUGCUCCUAGUACGAGAGGACCGGAGUGGACGCACCUCUGGUGUACCGGUUGUCACGCCAGUGGCAUCGCCGGGUAGCUAUGUGCGGAAGAGAUAACCGCUGAAAGCAUCUAAGCGGGAAACUUGCCUGAAGAUAAGUCUUCCCGGAGGCUAGACCUCCCUGAAGAGUCGUUCGAGACCAGGACGUUGAUAGGUCGGGUGUGUAAGCGUUGUGAGACGUUUAGCUAACCGAUACUAAUUGCUCGUGAGGCUUGAUCCU
rnacentral:rRNA from 1 species